CGAACGCUGGCGGCGUGGCCUAAUACAUGCAAGUCGAACGCACUCUCGUUUAGAUUGAAGGAGCUUGCUCCUGAUUGAUAAACAUUUGAGUGAGUGGCGGACGGGUGAGUAACACGUGGGUAACCUGCCCUAAAGUGGGGGAUAACAUUUGGAAACAGAUGCUAAUACCGCAUAAAACCUAACACCGCAUGGUGUAGGGUUGAAAGAUGGUUUCGGCUAUCACUUUGGGAUGGACCCGCGGUGCAUUAGUUAGUUGGUGAGGUAAAGGCUCACCAAGACCGUGAUGCAUAGCCGACCUAAGAGGGUAAUCGGCCACACUGGGACUGAGACACGGCCCAGACUCCUACGGGAGGCAGCAGUAGGGAAUCUUCCACAAUGGACGAAAGUCUGAUGGAGCAACGCCGCGUGAGUGAAGAAGGUUUUCGGAUCGUAAAACUCUGUUGUUGGAGAAGAAUGUAUCUGAUAGUAACUGAUCAGGUAGUGACGGUAUCCAACCAGAAAGCCACGGCUAACUACGUG
rnacentral:rRNA from 1 species